GGGACGAGGCCCAAGCCCGCGGCGAGCCGCGCCGAGGCCGAGCCCGAGACCACGCCGCCGCCCCGUCCCACUAGCUCUCUCUCUCCCCUCUCCCAACCACAGCGAUUCCCCCAUCACCUCCCUGCCUCCGCCCCCAUCGAUUCCAGCCAUUUUUGGUUCUUCGCCGCCGGCACGCGCCGCCGAGGUUCCCCCCAAGGUAAAGCGACCGCC
rnacentral:lncRNA from 1 species